GAUGAACGCUAGCUACAGGCUUAACACAUGCAAGUCGAGGGGCAGCAUGGUGGAUGCUUGCAUUCACCGAUGGCGACCGGCGAAUGGGUGAGUAACGCGUAUCCAACCUGGCGUGCACUCCGGCACAGCCCCUGGAAACGGGGAUUAAUUCCGGAUGGUGUGAAUAUUCCGCAUGGUAUUUUCACUAAAGGUCACGGUGCACGAUGGGGAUGCGUUCCAUUAGAUUGUUGGCGGGGUAACGGCCCACCAAGUCAUCGAUGGAUAGGGGUUCUGAGAGGAAGGUCCCCCACACUGGAACUGAGACACGGUCCAG
rnacentral:rRNA from 1 species